rnacentral:rRNA from 1 species
GCUAGAUGGUAGGGUAAUGGCCUACCAAGGCUACGAUGGUUAGCUGGUCUGAGAGGAUGAUCAGCCACACUGGAACUGACACACGGUCCAGACUCCUACGGGAGGCAGCAGUGAGGAAUUUUGCGCAAUGGGGGAAACCCUGACGCAGCAACGCCGCGUGAGUGAUGAAGGCCUUCGGGUCGUAAAGCUCUGUCAAGUGGGAAGAAAAUGUAUUUCAACAAUACUGUUAUACACUGACGGUACCACUAAAGGAAGCACCGGCUAACUCCGUGCCAGCAGCCGCGGUAAUACGGGGGGUGCAAGCGUUAUUCGGAAUCAUUGGGCGUAAAGAGCGCGUAGGCGGUCUUUUAAGUCAGAUGUGAAAGCCCGGGGCUUAACCCCGGAAGUGCAUUUGAAACUAAAAGACUUGAGUAUGGGAGAGGGAAGUGGAAUUCCUGGUGUAGAGGUGAAAUUCGUAGAUAUCAGGAGGAACACCGGUGGCGAAGGCGACUUCCUGGACCAAUACUGACGCUGAGGCGCGAAGGCGUGGGUAGCAAACAGGAUUAGAUACCCUGGUAGUCCACGCAGUAAACGGUGAACACUAGGUGUAGCGUGUAUUGACCCCCUGCUGUGCCGCAGUUAACGCAUUAAGUGUUCCGCCUGGGGAGUACGACCGCAAGGUUAAAACUCAAAGGAAUUGACGGGGGCCCGCACAAGCGGUGGAGCAUGUGGUUUAAUUCGACACAACGCGAAGAACCUUACCUGGAUUUGACAUCCCGGGAAUCUUAAGGAAACUUAAGAGUGCCCUUCGGGGAACCUGGUGACAGGUGCUGCAUGGCUGUCGUCAGCUCGUGUCGUGAGAUGUUGGGUUAAGUCCCGCAACGAGCGCAACCCUUAUCUUUAGUUACCAUCAUUCAGUUGGGGACUCUAAAGAUACUGCCCCGGUUAACGGGGAGGAAGGUGGGGAUGACGUCAAGUCCUCAUGGCCUUUAUGUCCAGGGCCACACACGUGCUACAAUGGGUUGUACAAAGGGUAGCGAACCCGCGAGGGUCAGCCAAUCCCAUAAAGCAACUCUUAGUUCGAAUUGGAGUCUGCAACUCGACUCCAUGAAGCUGGAAUCGCUAGUAAUCGUGGAUCAGCAUGCCACGGUGAAUACGUUCCCGGGCCUUGUACACACCGCCCGUCACACCAUGAGAGUUGGUUGUACCAGAAGUUGUUGGGCAAACUUUUAUAAAGAUGCAGGCACCUAAGGUAUGGCUGAUGAUUGGGGUGAAGUCGUAACAAGGUA